rnacentral:rRNA from 1 species
CCGGCGACCGGCGCACGGGUGAGUAACGCGUAUGCAACCUGCCCGUUUCAGCGGGAUAACCCGGAGAAAUCCGGCCUAAUACCGCAUGUGGCCGAGGGGAGGCAUCUUCUUUCGGCCAAAGGAGGCGACUCCGGAGACGGAUGGCAUGCGUGACAUUAGCUAGUUGGCGGGGUAACGGCCCACCAAGGCGACGAUGCGUAGGGGUUCUGAGAGGAAGGUCCCCCACACUGGUACUGAGACACGGACCAGACUCCUACGGAAGGCAGCAG